GGAGCAGAAUCCCAGGGGCAGUUUUUGGGCCCGUAUCUCCGAUGGAAAGUUUGGACUGACUGGAGACUGCACUGGUGCAAAGUGAUCAAGCAGGCGAAACAGGAUCAACUCAAUUGCACUUGAAAUUUGCAUCUGUCCUCUGUGGUUCACCAAAGACAGAAGGAGUCGGCCCUUUGGGAAUCCACCCUUCAUCGUUGACUGCCUCUGUGAUACGGAUUGAAAUAAGUCAUGCCUUUUUACCUUGCUUGGGUGGACUUGGGCAGCGGACCUUCGGAAGCCUGCUCUGUGAGAACGUCAAUUAGAAGCGGUGGAGACCGGAAUCACCCUUUGCUUGAUCAGAAAUGUCAGUGAGUUCCCUAGGCUGAACCUUGGUAUUCUGGGGGGAAAAUAAUAAAUAAGAAGAAUAAUUGUGA